UUAAAUGAGAGAUUUUGAAUUAAUCCAAAUAUAAUCCUGUCGAUGUGCAAUACAGUUUUUAUCAACAACAUAUGGACAUGCCCUCGCUACAAAAAAUUCAUUUAACAAAAGUAUUGAGUGAUAUAUCUAUUCCUCGAACAAACAUUAAUCAGCAAUUUUUAUCUGCCUGUAGCUACUGCUACGCUUUGUGGAUUAAAUAACCGUCAAUCAUUAGCUACCUAAUGUGCUAUAUAAUAUGCUGUGGACAAUCGACCUUCUAAUACCCAUAUGACCCGCACAUCAAAAAGUACCGAAAGCGGUUGGCUUAACAUUGCAAUCAACUUGGCACAGAUUGGAGUUCAACAACACAACUGAAUGUUCUUGUAUUUGUAACCAUACUUGAAAACAUUGUGUUGGAUAAAACCGAAUUUAAAGUGUCAAGCAUAUAUAUAUAUAUAUAUGCUGUAUAGCGGCGUUCAAACAUGUUAACUGUACCUAAUCGUAGGGAGUUAUCACCGCCCGGGAAAACUGGUGUACGAAUUUUGGUUCUUGGCCCGCGAAAUGUUGGAAAAUCAG